GCCUGGCUGACUCAGUCGAUAGAGUGUGUGUCUCUUGAUCUCAAGGUCGUGAGUUUGAGCCCCUUGUUGGGUA
rnacentral:tRNA from 1 species